rnacentral:tRNA from 1 species
GCAUCGGUGGUUUAGUGGUAAAAUUAGCCGUUGCCAUCUGUACAGAUCAAUUCGGCUAGCCCCGGGUUCGAUUCCCGGCCGAUGCA